rnacentral:lncRNA from 10 species
CCGGGCGCCGGGAGCAGCGCUUCUGCAGCGCUUACAGGGGCCGCCCUGGGCGGACACGCUCCGUGCGCCCUCCCUCUUGCCGCCUGGCACCGCCCGGCAAGCCAGGCGCCUCCUACACGCACGAACGAGGAUACCAGGCGAACGAAGCACGACCCCCAAGUCCUCGCAGUUGCAAGGCCGCAGCGCAGGAUCGAAACCCCGACCCGGCUGCAGAGUCCCCCUGCGGUCUGGCCGGGCCUUAAAGGCCUGAAACUCCUGAGCACUGACCCAUCGCCCAGCCAGACAGAGGGACGUUUCAUGCCAGCCCCGUCACAGCCCCCAGCGACGAUCCCGAGGCUUCGUACCCAGAGAGAACGGCCAGCAGGCCCUCGGCUGAUGGUUGCUUCUGUGUUUCCUGCGUGGUAGGAGGGAAGCAGUGGAAGUUCCAUCUUCGUCAAAGAGGAACCUGUCUGUGACAUCUGAAACACUGCACUAAAGGCUGCCAGUGUGCCCUUCGGGCUCUGAAACCCGGCCCGGUGCAAGCAAGACUGUGGCCUGGACCAGGGCUGAGAGCUGUUUGUCAGGAGAGAUUCGGGCCAUUCCCUGGGAUUUGGGGUGGAAGGGUGAUGUUACCAAGAUUGGAAGGAAGGUCACAGUUUCCCUGAGGUGUCCCUGGCCCAACUGCAGGAGGGCUGACUGACAUCUGCCAGUAUGCACAGCCAGUCCCUGGAUGCCCAGCAUGGCCCAGGUCUGUGUGACCCUGUCUGGAGUCCCCAGACUUGCUAUGUCCCUACCCAGGCCCUGGUGGGCUCAUGACCUCACUAGUCCAGUUCUGAUGCUGCCUGUCCCUGUGAAGCCCACUCCAGUGUUCAUAUCACCAGGGCUGGGCUCAGGCCUGUGUCCUUGCCACUCCCUCCAGGGCACCUUGGGUCUCCCUUGGUGACAGUACCUGCACCCUGCAGGCAGCCUGCGCUGGCUGUGAACCACACUGCCGCCUACUUCCUCUUCUAUGUUCCCGCUCUGUCUACAGUCCCCUCUGAACACUCCCGUGAAGCAGGUUCUAGGAUCAUCUCCAUUUUAUAGAAGGGGAGAUUGAGGAUCAGAGACAUGUAGUCACUUGCCCAAGGACACACAGCAGGAAGUUCAAUGGCUUCCAAUCCCAUGCUCUUUCCUCUCUACCAUGCUGCUUCACUUGAGGUUUUUAACAGGGGGUGGCAAACACAGCUCCUCUCCCCUUGACCCUCUCACUCCCAAAGCCCACAGGACCCUGCCGCAGGGUGGCACAUACUCAUCUCCUUGGGGGGUCCUCCAGCUCCCUUCUCUGUGAAGAGCCUAGGUUCCUUGCUGUGCUGAGUCCUUGGCUCUGCUCAGCUCAGCCUGACCGGGCUGCGGUCAUUUGAAUCCCCAGUGCUGCCACCCACCGGUCACCCUGUCCUGUCACCAGGUGGUGACUGGCCCAGUGACCCCCAGGACCACUCACCAGAAAAGAAUCAUGCCAGGUGCUCACCUGCUCACUGCAGAGGGCUCUAAAUCUGCAACUCAGGUAACAGGGAAACAAGUAACUGAUUGGAGUUACCACCCUCAGGUUGCUAAGGCCAAGUGCCUGCCAAAUCCAGCGGCUCGGCUGGGGUGGACUCUGCCCACCAUCAGCAAAACCACAUUCACCAGGAGGCUUAGAGGACAGUGCUCUGGUUAACUGGAUUUGCU